GGAGGAAAACUUUCUGCAGAGUAGAACCUCCUCUAUCCAUGGAGUCUCUCCAUAUGGAAAAUUCUGAAUUGUAUGGAAAUACUGUGCACAUAGAGACCCAUGUUGAUUCAGCAAUUCAAAAGUCAGGCUUCAAGCUAUGGAUGAAGAGUCAUUAUGAAAAGUAACCCCCUUCCCAGGUAACUUCCAAGAAAAGUGAAGCAUGGGAAAAUGAAGCAUCAUGUUCAUAGAAGUCUAUAUAAUAUACUUUUUAAGAGACCAUUUAUAUUGAUGCUGAAGCCCAUAAUUCAGAUGAUUUGAAAGAUGAAUUAGAUAAAUUCAUGGAGGAUAAUCAAUGGCUACUACUAGUCCAGAUAAUUGUAGACUGCCUAAGCACUGAGCAGAACAGAAGCAGAAACAGUUGCUGAGAAGCAAUAGUUGGAGAUGGAUAUUGGUGGGCAUGUCUUCCUUGUCAGUAUUUCAGAGACAUCUUUGUGGUAAACACAAUACUGGACAGUUCUUUGGUAUCACACAACAAGGUUCUUAUGUAACUCAGGUUACAUAAGGAUCCCUUCUACAAGAUAUAGGUCAACCUCUCAAAGGGCAUUUUCCAUCUUGGCCCCUGGGAUCUGGAACACACUCCCCGAGGAGCUCCACACCGCCACCUCCCUGGAUCUCUUUAAAAAGAGA